GGGCGCGUAGCUCAGUGGUAGAGCUCUGGUUUUACACACCAGCGGUCGGCGGUUCGAUCCCGUCCGCGCCCACCA
rnacentral:tRNA from 3 species